rnacentral:lncRNA from 13 species
AUGCUAGAUGUCCUCUUUGAGCUGGUGCUGUUUGGGAUGAUGACAGCUCAGAAGUCCCUGAUGGUGCACCCUGGUGGGUUCGUGGAGCGUCUGUACGCUCUCCUGUACUCCUUCCUGCCCACUGCUGCCAACAUGGAGCCAGAGGCUGAUAGAUACCUACUGCUGCUCAAUGUAAGAGUCAAGAGGUUACUUCCUGUUUACUUCCAUAUUCUUAGUGUACUUCCUUAUUCAUGGUUAACCAGGUUUCAAUGCCAUUUUAGGGGGAGUAUUUCUAAUUGUCUCUCUCCUCUUGAUAAGCUAGUAACUCAGGACCAUUUUCUAUGUGUUGUGUGGUGUUCUCUUCAGGGCGGGCUGAUGGCUCUGCUAGAUGACAUGUUUGGCCAGCAGCUGGCCUGGUACUUUAACCCAGAGUCUCUGGUCACUGAGCUCUCCAGCCUCCUGGAGUACCACUUGGAGAACCUCAUGGCCAGCAUGUAGUCCUACUGCAGGGACCAUACUCCUUUCUCCUUCUCUCUCUCUUUUGAAGGAAUUGAGGACUUGAAGUGCUUUGUUGAACCCUGAUUAGUUAACACCCAUUAAUUUAAUGUAUUCUCUUGUUUUCUCUCCCCACAGGAUUAUUGUGACACUUUGCCACCCAACAGGGAUCUAGACACCAAUGAACUACAUUACUUUGCACUGAAUUUGACAUUUUUUAAAUAAAAGUUGUAGUUCAUAAACAUUUGUUUCCGUCUUUUCAUCUAUUUGAUUUUAUGACCAUUUCCUCUUCCUAGAGGUAUAAUGCUAAUAUUAGAAUAUUAACUGAACAAUGAUGCUUUAUUAUCUGCAUAUGGAAAUAAAAAACAACGUUUAGUUUGAUUUACAGAUACUACAGGCCCACACUUUAUAUGGUUUUGUACGGGCGUUUGUGAUACUGGGGCGGCAGUGGUUAGAGCGUUGGACUAGUAACCGGAAGGUUGCAAGUUCAAACCCCCGAGCUGACAAGGUACACAUCUGUAGUUCUGCCCCUGAACAGGGGCCAUCAUUGAAAAUAAGAAUUUGUUCUUAACUGACUUGCCUAGUUAAAUAAAAAAAUACUGUACUAUUAAAAAAACAUGUAGGAUGACAUACACUGAGUCCACAAUAGACUAGGAACAUCUUCCUAAUAUUGAGUUGCACACUCUUUUCCCCUCAGAACAGCCUAAUUUCCUCUGGGCAUGGACUCGACAAGCUGCCCUAAGCGUUCCACAAGGAUGCUGGCCCAUGUUGUGUCAAGUUGGCUGGACGUCCUUUGGGUGGUGGACCAUUCUUGAGACACAUGGAAAAAAACAGCAGUGUUGCAGUUCUUGACACACUUAACCCGGUGCGCCUGGCACCUACUAACAUACCCCGUUCAAAGACAGUUAAAUAUUUUCUCUUGCUGAAUCACCCUCUGAAUGACACACACAAUCCAUGUCUCAAUUCUCUCAAGGUUUUAAAAUCUUUCUUUAACUCCCCUUCAUCUACACUGAUUGAAGUAG